rnacentral:rRNA from 1 species
UACAGAGGGGGCAAGCGUUGUUCGGAAUUACUGGGCGUAAAGGGCGCGUAGGCGCCUGUUAAGUCGAACGUGAAAUCCCCGGGCUCAACCCGGGAACUGCGUCCGAUACUGGCAGGCUUGAAUCCGGGAGAGGGAUGUGGAAUUCCAGGUGUAGCGGUGAAAUGCGUAGAUAAUCUGGAGGAACACCGGUGGCGAAGGCGGCAUCC